GCAAGUAUGAUGUAAUGGUAGCCAUGUCUUCCUUAAGAGAAGAUGUCAGUAGACGUGAGAGUUCGAGUCUCUCUGCUUGUA
rnacentral:tRNA from 1 species